UACGUAGGCAGCAAGCGUUGUUCGGAGUUACUGGGCGUAAAGGGUGUGUAGGCGGUUGGAUAAGUGUGGUGUGAAAUCUCCCGGCUCAACUGGGAGGGUGCGCUACAAACUGUCUGACUAGAGUGUGGGAUGGGAAAGUGGAAUUCCUGGUGUAGCGGUGAAAUGCGUAGAUAUCAGGAGGAAUACCGGUGGUGCAGACGGCUCUCUGGACCGCGACUGACGCUGAGACACGAAAGCGUGGGUAGCAAACAGG
rnacentral:rRNA from 1 species